rfam:Tupaia chinensis contig47591, whole genome shotgun sequence.
CAUUGUUCUGCUCCUCUGCAGAUCAGCCAUUAGCAAAGAACAAUCAGCUUAAGUCCUUUGGACCUGAUCAACGAUACCAGGGCUACCGAUUUGAACUCUUUUGGCUUACUCUCUCUGAAAUAAUGAAGUAUACAAGUUAUACACUGGCUUUCCUGCUUUCUAUCAUU